UGGCUCAGUUGGUAGAGCAUGGUGUUUGCAAUGCCAGCAUGGUGUGUGCAACGCCAGGCUUGUGGGUUUGAUUCCCAC
rnacentral:tRNA from 1 species